rnacentral:rRNA from 1 species
UACGAAGGGGGCUAGCGUUGCUCGGAAUCACUGGGCGUAAAGGGUGCGUAGGCGGGUUUUUAAGUCAGAGGUGAAAUCCUGGAGCUCAACUCCAGAACUGCCUUUGAUACUGGGAAUCUUGAGUAUGGAAGAGGUGAGUGGAACUGCGAGUGUAGAGGUGAAAUUCGUAGAUAUUCGCAAGAACACCAGUGGCGAAGGCGGCUCACUGGUCCAUAACUGACGCUGAGGCACGAAAGCG